AAAUAGGGACUUGUAUGAAUGGCCACACGAGGGCUUUACUGUCUCUUACUUCCGAUCCGUGAAAUUGACCUUCCCGUGAAGAGGCGGGAAUAUGACAAUAAGACGAGAAGACCCUAUGGAGCUUUAAUUAACCGACCCAAAGAGAUCUUAACAACUAACCGAUAGGGACAACAAACCUCUACCAUGGGUCGACAAUUUAGGUUGGGGUGACCUCGGAGAAUAAAACAACCUCCGAGUGAUUUAAAUCUAGACUAACCAGUCGAAAGUACUACAUCACUUAUUGAUCCAAAAACUUGAUCAACGGAACAAGUUACCCUAGGGAUAACAGCGCAAUCCUAUUUUAGAGUCCAUAUCGACAAUAG
rnacentral:rRNA from 1 species